rnacentral:rRNA from 1 species
CGCAGGCGCUGGCCUCCUCUAUUUCUACCUUUCUAUCGUGGGCAGCACGGGUGCAUGCACCUGGUGGCCAGUGGCGAACGGGUGAGUAAUACAUCGGAACGUGUCCUGAAGUGGGGGAUAGCCCGGCGAAAGCCGGAUUAAUACCGCAUACAAUCUACGGAUGAAAGGGGGGGAUCUUCGGACCUCGCGCUAUAGGGGCGGCCGAUGGCGGAUUAGCUAGUUGGUGAGGUAAAAGCUCACCAAGGCGACGAUCCGUAGCUGGUCUGAGAGGACGACCAGCCACACUGGGACUGAGACACGGCCCAAACUCAUACGGGAGGCAGCAGUGGGGAAUUUUGGACAAUGGGCGAAAGCCUGAUCCAGCAAUGCCGCGUGUGUGAAGAAGGCCUUCGGGUUGUAAAGCACUUUUGUCCGGAAAGAAAUCCCUGGUCCUAAUAUGGCCGGGGGAUGACGGUACCGGAAGAAUAAGCACCGGCUAACUACGUGCCAGCAGCCGCGGUAAUACGUAGGGUGCAAGCGUUAAUCGGAAUUACUGGGCGUAAAGCGUGCGCAGGCGGUGAUGUAAGACCGAUGUGAAAUCCCCGGGCUCAACCUGGGAACUGCAUUGGUGACUGCAUCGCUUGAGUAUGGCAGAGGGGGGUAGAAUUCCACGUGUAGCAGUGAAAUGCGUAGAGAUGUGGAGGAAUACCGAUGGCGAAGGCAGCCCCCUGGGUCAAUACUGACGCUCAUGCACGAAAGCGUGGGGAGCAAAAAGGAU